rnacentral:lncRNA from 1 species
AAUGAUGAUGACAACGAUGACAACAGCAUAACGACAGACGAGAACAACGACAACAACAAGAACAAGAACAACAAUAACAAUAGAGACUACAACAACAAUGGCGACAACAUCGGCGACCACAAUAACCACAACAACGACGAAGAUGACGACGACGAUGACGACAACAAGAACAAAAACAACAACAAAAACAACAACAACAACAACAACAACAACAACAACAAC